CAAGUCGAACGCGAAAGUUUCCUUCGGGGAACGAGUAGAGUGGCGCACGGGUGAGUAACACGUAGGUAAUCUACCUUUGGAUGGGGAAUAACAACCGGAAACGGUUGCUAAUACCGCAUAAUGCAGCGGCACCUAAUGGUGACAGUUGUUAAAGCGGGGGAUCGAAAGACCUCGCGUCUAAAGAGGAGCCUGCGGCGGAUUAGCUAGUUGGUAAGGUAACGGCUUACCAAGGCGAUGAUCCGUAGCCGGCCUGAGAGGGCGGUCGGCCACACUGACACUGACAUACGGGUCAGACUCCUACGGGAGGCAGCAGUCGGGAAUUUUGGGCAAUGGGCGAAAGCCUGACCCAGCAACGCCGCGUGAAGGAUGAAAUCCUUCGGGAUGUAAACUUCGCAAGAACGGGAAGAAUAAGUAAGGGUUAAUAUCUCUUACGAUGACGGUACUGUUUGUAAGCUCCGGCUAACUCCGUGCCAGCAGCCGCGGUAAUACGGGGGGAGCAAGCGUUGUUCGGAUUUACUGGGCGUAAAGGGCGCGUAGGCGGCCACCGCAAGUCGGUUGUGAAAUCUCUGGGCUUAACCCAGAAAGGUCAACCGAUACUGCGGGGCUAGAGUGCAGAAGGGGCAACUGGAAUUCUCGGUGUAGCGGUGAAAUGCGUAGAUAUCGAGAGGAACACCUGCGGCGAAGGCGGGUUGCUGGGCUGACACUGACGCUGAUGCGCGAAAGCUAGGGGAGCGAACGGGAUUAGAUACCCCGGUAGUCCUAGCCUUAAACGAUGAAUGCUUGGUGUCUGGGGUUUUAUAGUCCCCGGGUGCCGUCGCUUACGCUUUAAGCAUUCCGCCUGGGGAGUACGGUCGCAAGACUGAAACUCAAAGGAAUUGACGGGGACCCGCACAAGCGGUGGAGCAUGUGGUUUA
rnacentral:rRNA from 1 species